CUACUGCCUCUGUUCUCUCUUGCGAUGUGACUGAUUCCCACCAAGGCUACCAAAUGCUAUUCGCCUGGAGACCCAUUAAAUUCAGCAGACAACCAAGAGAGCUUCAGGAGCCAAAGGUGAACAAGAAAUAAUUCUUAGACUCAGUGACUUAACAUGAAUGUCUGCCUCUUCUUCUGAACAAAACCUGAAGCAGUGUAAAUGAAAGAGUUUGUCUCCUUGAAAAUCCAGUGGAAGAGAAGAAUGAAGCUACAGGUUCUUAAUAUUCAGACUUCCUCUCGGGACUGCUGUUCUCUAUGUUUUUCCAAAGGACCCCAGCAGAGCACACACAGCCCCACUAACGGACAGCAGAGCCACAGUUAGGGGCGCUCACAAUAACUACGCCGAGAACACCCAAAGAUGGGGAUUCAGAAGAAAGGGUUUGAGAAGCUUUGUCAGUCACACCCCAUCCUCCAAACUGGAGAUUUGCAGUAUGCUUUUUCAGGGCUAUAAUCAUAUAUAAAGAUGGGAAUCACUCUCCUCUGCUGCUGAUUUUCUCACCAAAUGUUGUCAUGAAGGUACCCAAGGAAUAUGCUGUCGGCACACACAAACGGACAGUGGACACUUGUCCUCUUGUUAGAUAAACACUCAGGUGGCUCACUCCAAAACCCUCCACAGGCUCUCACCAACGUCCCUUUCACAUCAAGAUCUUCCACCCAGGCCUUGUCUAUUCCUGUCCAUUCCGCCCUAUGAACGCCUUCUAUGGCUUGGACACACCAUCUUCUCAUAUCAUUAGAUUUUUUUUUUCCUUUUUUUUUUUUUUGGUAGGAUGGUAAUUGAGAUUUUCUUUUUUUUAAUUUUUUUUGACAUUUAUUUAUUUUUGAAAGACAGAGAGAGACAGAUCAUGAGCAGGGGAGGAGCAGAGAGAGGGAUACACAGAAUCGAAAGCAGGCUCCAGGCUCUGAGCUGCCAGCACAGAACCUGAUGCAGGGCUCGAACCCACGAACUGUGAGAUCAUGAUCUGAGCUGAAGUCGGACACUCAACUGACUGAGCCACACAGGCACCUCAGGUAAUUGAGAUUUUCAAAGAGAGUUCCGGAAAGACAGAUGGCAAGAGUCAAGACAAACUGGGAGUAAUCCAUAGGAACCUGACUCAGACAGCCUGCUCCAAGUGAGAGCCUAAGCCCAUGAUCAAGAUGGAGGCCUGGCGAGUGCAGACAAACACGCCAGGAGGAAUGAGUAAAUGGGAAAAGGCAGUGGAUUAGAAACCAAUGAGGCAGCCAAUGUGGUGGCCUCCUGACACCACGAUGGGACAUCUUAACGGCAACUCCAAGGGGCGGGAGGCAGCAGCUGCAAGGAUGCCAGUGGAACCUGUUACAGGAGAUGAUGUGGAACUGAGCAGGCAAAAAUAGGGUAAAUGUUGAUACUCUUUCCCCUCCAUUGUCAAAAUCAUCUCUUUCCAUUCAUUUUUCUAUAUUCUUCCUUCACAGCUUGAGCCCAAUGUGAAAUGCCCUAUAAUCCUCACAGGACACCUGAAACCCUGGCCGGCCAAUUAUCCUAGUGAUGCUCCCAUGGUGAUCUCUGCACAAGCACACGAUGUAACUUUCUCUGCAAAGCAUUUUUCACAUCUAUUAUGUCAUUUAAUUAACCAACACUAUGUGACAUAAGCACUUAGAUAAAUAAAUCCAGGUCCAAAGAGAUUUAUAGCCUCACCCAAGAGAAAGAACCUUCAUAUAAACCCAGCUCUUCAGACUUGAGAUCCUGUGCUUCAAAAAUAUGCUGCUAUAGUGUAUUUCUGGUUCUCUAACUCUGUGUGCUGUAAAUUUCACUAAUCUAGACUUCACUGAUUCAGAAUUGGUGAGGCAAUAAAACAUCAUCAUGUGAUACCCCACUUACUUGGGAAUCUGGGACAUGCUAUAAGAAGUGUUGUGCCUACAGUAUUGGUACAGGGUAUUGGACAGGGCAGCUAUCAUCCUGAAAGUACAACAAAAGAAAGCCUGCUUUUGUUUAUUCAACCAGGGCCAACAUCACCAAUGAGCACCAACAUGCAGCUAAAGAAAAAAAAAAGAAAAAGAUGGAUCUGCUAACUACAAAUGAUGUAAUUCUGUGUUUGUGGCUCACCAACGUUAAAUUUUUUUUUAAAAAUCCCCCAAAUCUAAGCUAAAGUAAAAACCAACCACCCUCACAUGAUUUUGCCAAGUACCUUUAUUAUGUCUUAUAUUAUCCUGUAGUUCAACUUUUAAUUCACAUCUGCCUCUUCUGAAAAAGUCCGGUGUAAAGCUG
rnacentral:lncRNA from 1 species